GCAUAUCAAUAAGCGGAGGAAAAGAAACCAACAGGGAUUGCCCUAGUAACGGCGAGUGAAGCGGCAACAGCUCAAAUUUGAAAUCUGGCUCUUUCAGAGUCCGAGUUGUAAUUUGCAGAGGGCGCUUUGGCUUUGGCAGCGGUCCAAGUUCCUUGGAACAGGACGUCACAGAGGGUGAGAAUCCCGUACGUGGUCGCUAGCUAUUGCCGUGUAAAGCCCCUUCGACGAGUCGAGUUGUUUGGGAAUGCAGCUCUAAAUGGGAGGUAAAUUUCUUCUAAAGCUAAAUAUUGGCCAGAGACCGAUAGCGCACAAGUAGAGUGAUCGAAAGAUGAAAAGCACUUUGGAAAGAGAGUCAAACAGCACGUGAAAUUGUUGAAAGGGAAGCGCUUGCAGCCAGACUUGCUUGCAGUUGCUCAUCCGGGCUUUUGCCCGGUGCACUCUUCUGUAGGCAGGCCAGCAUCAGUUUGGGCGGUGGGAUAAAGGUCUCUGUCACGUACCUCUCUUCGGGGAGGCCUUAUAGGGGAGACGACAUACCACCAGCCUAGACUGAGGUCCGCGCAUCUGCUAGGAUGCUGGCGUAAUGGCUGUAAGCGGCCCGUCUUGAAACACGGACCAAGGAGUCUAACAUCUAUGCGAGUGUUUGGGUGUCAAGCCCGAGCGCGUAAUGAAAGUGAACGGAGGUGGGAACCCGCAAGGGUGCACCAUCGACCGAUCCUGAAGUUUACGGAAGGAUUUGAGUAAGAGCAUGGCUGUUGGGACCCGAAAGAUGGUGAACUAUGCUUGAAUAGGGUGAAGCCAGAGGAAACUCUGGUGGAGGCUCGCAGCGGUUCUGACGUGCAAAUCGAUCGUCAAAUUUGGGCAUAGGGGCGAAAGACUAAUCGAACUAUCUAGUAGCUGGUUCCUGCGA
rnacentral:rRNA from 1 species